GGGCGAGUGGCUUAGACGGCUAGAGCGCUUGUCUUACAAACAAGAGACCGCUGGCUCGACUCCAACCUCGCCCA
rnacentral:tRNA from 1 species